CAUGGAGAAGGGGUCAAAGGAGGAAUCCGCUGAAGGAGAGGUUCGCGUCCCAUUAGGUAGUUGGCGGGAUAACAGCCCACCAAGGCGACGAUGGGUAGCCGAGCUGAGAGGCUGAUCGGCCACACUGGAACUGAGACACGGUCCAGACUCCUACGGGAGGCAGCAGUGGGGAAUAUUGGGCAAUGGGCGAAAGCCUGACCCAGCAACGCCGCGUGAGGGAAGAAGGUUUUCGGAUUGUAAACCUCUGUCGCAGAAGACGAAGGAAGUGACGGUAUUCUGUGAGGAAGCCCCGGCUAACUACGUGCCAGCAGCCGCGGUAAUACGUAGGGGGCGAGCGUUGUCCGGAAUUACUGGGCGUAAAGGGUGCGUAGGCGGUUAAUUAAGUUGGAUGUGAAAUUCCCGGGCUUAACUUGGGAGCUGCAUUCAAAACUGGUUAACUAGAGUUCAGGAGAGGGAAGCGGAAUUCCUAGUGUAGCGGUGAAAUGCGUAGAUAUUAGGAGGAACACCGGUGGCGAAGGCGGCUUUCUGGACUGACACUGACGCUGAGGCACGAAAGCGUGGGGAGCAAACAGGAUCAGAUACCCUGGUAGUCCACGCUGUAAACGAUGAAUACGAGGUGUAGG
rnacentral:rRNA from 1 species